GUUGUUUCCUUUUUCAUCCUUUCCCCCUUCUUUUCACCCUAAAAUGGCAUAAAAGAUGGGUCUUAUAAAUUGGAUAAUCACUGAUCAAAAGAUAGUUAAAAUCUCUUCUUUUCCAUUUAGCCAUAUGUUGCUGAAAUGCAGAUGAAAUACAACUUACAGAAUAAGAAGAAACAAUCAAAUCAAGUCUAAUAGAAAAUAACCCACUGCCUUCCAAAAUUCUUGAAGUAAUUUUUUCUGAGUCAGAGAUUAUGUUCUGCUACUACCUGGAUAAGAAAACACCGAACAAAUUCAGCACCUACAGGACCACUCAGUGUGAUGGUCAUAACUAAUGUGACACCUGAGUUGAAUCCAUCCCGACUCCACAUAUACCCUGGAGCUUGCUGUCAUGGACAGAGGCAAGAGAUUUCUCAUUCUUCCCUUCUGUGUGCAGAACAUGUGGCUCCAGGACUCACCAUUUUAAAUCAGUGAGGGAAUCACAUGCAGCCAAAGCCCUUCCCAUAUUUGUCCUCUUGCUCUAAAUCAAAAGCAUUGCCUUUACCUUCUGAUUUUUUUAGCAGCAAAUAAAACAUUUUAACAUUAGAAACCAC
rnacentral:lncRNA from 1 species